GUGGUUCUGGCCUCUUUUUAUUUUGUCUGCUUUUCUCUGCUUGGUUGACUAGCCUUUGCCUGAAUCUUGUCAUCUACCCUACAUCCUUCUGAUAAAUUGCAUUUUGCCUUCAAGUCACCAAAGUUGGUUUCCUUUACAUGGAAUCAAGGACCCUGCACAGCACUCCUGUUCUGGGGCCAGGACAUUGACUACAAAGUUGGGAUUCUCCUGGGAUGAUGAUCUGCUAGCAUUUGCGGAGAGACAGAUGCCUGCUUGCCUAGUGGCCUUGAACCUCAACGAGGCUUCCCAGGGAGGAUUUUGGAUGAAGACCUUUAUAAAGGGAGUGAAGAUUUUAAGCGUUGAGGGACUCGAGACACUGUGAGUGAGAAAACCAGUUUUCUUUUGGAUAUUCAUCUGAAGGUAAAUAAUUCAAAGGUAAAUUUAAAUGUGUGGGAUAAAUAGUCUACCUCUCCCGAAUACUCUUUCCUAUCUCAUUUUUGGUUGAUAAUUCCAAGAUAGUGCCUCAGCGACUCCCAUAUUCCAAAGCGCAAGACUGGGGACUCCAAAGUCCCCGGAACUGGCAAAGGAGGUGGCCAAAAUCCUGUUUUGUGGCCCUUAGCUGACCUCCUACACAAGGCCAUAAAAGAGGUCGGGGAGUCUGAGAGAAGAACCUGGAGUUUGGAGAGAGGAUUGGUUUGGGAAAACUUGGGCUUUGAGUUUCAUUUUUCAUCCAAGCUCCAGACUUCUCUUGCCCACUCCUCACCCCCUAACCUAAAAAUGAUUCACUUUUCUCAGGGUAAGAGAGGUGGCUUUAAGGGGCUUAUUUGCACAGCUGGAGCUGUGAACCCUGUGAUGAAUAACAUAUGCCUACAAAAGCAAUCUUCACAGGUGAGAGGCUGGCUGGACCAGCUGUGGCAGCUGAGGACAGGGCUGGGUUUGGGUCUGGUGUCCUCCGUCUGAUGGUGGGUCAGACGUUUCUGUCACCUGGGGGCCAGAUGAAGGCCACAUGUCAAGGCAGCAGCUUGGGGUUGUUUUAGAUCCUGCCAGCAGGGCUUCCAGGAGGAGCAAGAAAAUAUCAACAGAGUGGGGUUGGAGGUGUGCCACUAGACGCCAGGACCGAAGAAGGAAUUCUAAGCUCUAAGCAAAAUACAUUUAUAUUCAUCAAGGGAACUACAGGUGAGGGACCCCCAGCUUGGAGAUGUUGUCCAAAGAAGAUGGAAAGCAUCCUACAGCAGCGUUGUCAUUAAACACCAGCAAGAACCAAAGCUAGAUCACAGAGAUGCCCCUCAAGUGAGUUCUUUCCUGUCUCCUUACCUCUUCUCUCCUCUUUGGCUCUGGUCCUAGAGGAAUUGGAAGCCACAGCUGGGAGGGUGAGGUAUUCAGGGCAGAGGCCCUUCCUCCUCUCACUUUGAAAUAAAGUCUGGAGUUUGACUGUUACACAGGAUGUUAUAUUUAAUUACUGAAAUGAAACUACCCUUAGGAGUGUAAGUGAAUAGAGGGCACUUAGUAACCAUAGAGUGAAGGGAUGUCCUAUGGGGUUUCAUACAAGAGUUUACCAAGAGCAAGACAAGAUUUUAUCCACAGGCAGAGAGAAUCAGCAACACAAAAUGGCCUUGACUAGCAGGGGGAGAAAACAAUAAAGUUGGUUUUGAUUGUUCCUUGCCAAUAUCACCUAUUUAAUAUCUGGGUUACACCUAUAAUUUGCAACAGCAAAUUACAGGUAUAUAAAAUCUCAGUUUCCUAUAGUUUUCUUGUCAGUGUUACAGGAUUAGACUCCCAUAGGAACAGAAACUU